CCUACGGGAGGCAGCAGUAGGGAAUAUUGCUCAAUGGGGGAAACCCUGAAGCAGCAACGCCGCGUGGAGGAUGAAGGUUUUCGGAUUGUAAACUCCUUUUGUUAGAGAAGAUAAUGACGGUAUCUAACGAAUAAGCACCGGCUAACUCCGUGCCAGCAGCCGAGGUAAUACGGAGGGUGCAAGCGUUACUCGGAAUCACUGGGCGUAAAGGGCGCGUAGGCGGGAUAGCAAGUCAGAUGUGAAAUCCUAUGGCUUAACCAUAGAACUGCAUUUGAAACUGUUAGUCUAGAGUAUGGGAGAGGUAGGUGGAAUUCUUGGUGUAGGGGUAAAAUCCGUAGAGAUCAAGAGGAAUACUCAUUGCGAAGGCGACCUGCUAGAACAUAACUGACGCUGAUGCGCGAAAGCGUGGGGAGCAAACAGGAUUAGAUACCCCAGUAGUC
rnacentral:rRNA from 1 species